rnacentral:misc_RNA from 1 species
GAUGAAGAACUUAGCGAAAUGCGAUAAGUAAUGUGAAUUGCAGAAUUCAGUGAAUCAUCGAAUCUUUGAACGCACAUUGCGCCCGCCAGUAUUCUGGCGGGCAUGCCUGUUCGAGCGUCAUUUCAACCAUCAAGCCCCAGGCUUGUGUUGGGGACCUGCGGCUGCCGCAGGCCCUGAAAACCAGUGGCGGGCUCGCUGUCACACCGGGCGUAGUAGAUUUUAUCUCGCUCAGGGCGUGCUGCGGGUUCCGGCCGUUAAAAAGCCUUUUUUACCCAAGGUUGACCUCGGAUCAGGUAGGAAGACCCGCUGAACUUAAGCAUAUCAAUAAGCGGAGGA